AGCGAACGCUGGCGGCAGGCCUAAUACAUGCAAGUCGAGCGGCCGUAGCAAUACGGCAGCGGCAGACGGGAGAGUAACACGUGGGAACGUACCUUUCGGUUCGGAACAACCCAGGGAAACUUGGGCUAAUACCGGAUACGUCCGUAAGGAGAAAGAUUUAUCGCCGAAAGAUCGGCCCGCGUCUGAUUAGCUUGUUGGUGAGGUAACGGCUCACCAAGGCGACGAUCAGUAGCUGGUCUGAGAGGGUGAUCAGCCUCACUGGGACUGAGACACGGCCCAGACUCCUACGGGAGGCAGCAGUAGGGAAUAUUGGACAAUGGGCGCAAGCCUGAUCCAGCUAUGCCGCGUGAGUGAUGAAGGCCCUAGGGUUGUAAAGCUCCUUCGGCGGGGAAGAUAAUGACGGUACCCGCAGAAGAAGCCCCGGCUAACUUCGUGCCAGCAGCCGCAGUAA
rnacentral:rRNA from 1 species